AAGCAUUUGAGAAGCAAGGGUAUUCUGAGAAUAAGGCCCUGACUGGUGUGUGAGGGAACUUUGAAAAUGCGCACACUGCUAUGACUCCAGCUGCAGCCCACUCCUCAGACACCAGUCUUCUUGUUUUCUGCUCAGAAGCCUUGCUGGUUAUUUGUCGUCGGGAGGAAUCCCAGGUCCCUAAGCGCUUUGUGUCAGUCAUUUUCCCGGGGAGUGAAAGGGACACCUAGAUGCGCUCUCAGCACUUGUCGCUGAGCUAGAGGUGAAGAGAGGUGACGGGUGUUUCACUUACGGAUCAGGACUGUACUUGCCAGAGAGCACGCUUCUGAGAGGCCUGACCUUGUUUGUGGAAGACCUUGAGCAGAAUGGGGGGAGCUGCAGGCGGCCCACACUUGUCUGUUCUCUCCACACUGCCGCUGCUGUGCACUCCACGCUUCUCCAGUGCAGGUCAAGUGACUCUACCUCAUGUGGGUGUGCGUGCGUGCGUGCGUGUAUUGAUAGUCUUAAAGUAUUUCAUUAUUGAGAAUAGCAUCCAUGUGAACAAUGCAUUUGGAUUCUAUACACUCCAAGCCUCAUUUCCAACUCUCCUGAGGCAUCUCCACAAAGUCCCCUCCCAACCCCACAUCCCGUUUAAGCUUGGUUUUUUGAUAACCCACUUGAGUCCCAUUAGGGCUGCCUACUUGUGCAUGUAUGCAGGGCCAUCCAUCCACUGGAACAUGGGCAGCCUACUAGGGCCCACACCCUAAAGAAAGCGGACUCAUCCACUCCCCAGCAGCUAUCAGUAGCUCCUCAACUCAACCAGCAGUUGGUCCUCAUGAGCCCUUCCCAGCCAUGUUGGGGUGCUGACUGGCUUGAACUGGUUCAGGUUGUGUGGCAUCCACAGCUGCUGUCAGCUCAUGGGUGCAACGUUCCUAUCAUGUCUAGAAAACACUUUCACAGUAACCCUCGACAACCUGCUCUUCAGCCUGUCUGCUCUUUGAAGCUGUCCUCUGAGCCUUGUUGGGGGUAGGGUGUGGUACAGGUGUCACAUGUGUAGCUAAGCAUUCCCCUGCCACUUAUUUUCUGCAUAGUGGCCCAAAUAUGCUUUUUUUUUUUUUUUUUUUUUUUUUUUUUAAAUCUGGGGCUGGUUUGGAGCUUGCUAUGUAAACCAGACUGGCGUCAAACUCUUAAGAGAUCCACCACCCUCUGCCUAGAUUAAGGACAUUCACCACCAUGCCUAGCUUGCAUACUUAGGAGCUAGAAUGGGCAGCCUCAUCUGAGUAACUUAGAGUGAACAUGGAAUUUUCGAUUGAGAUUUUAAACCUGAAGGGCUUUAAACUUUUUCAUGCAACUGAAACCCGCUUACCUCUCAGGUGGCGCUGAAUAAUUCAGCUGUGCGUUAAAGGAGACGUUUUGAAAGUCGAGCAGUAUGCGAAUACUGCCUUCAGUAAAUCUGGAUGUACUUCUCUGUGUAGUGUAACUGUUUCAGUAAGAGUUCUCUAGAGCAAUAGAACUUACGCAAUGACUCUCUCUCUGUGGGGGUGGUUAAUAAGAUGGCUUACAGGCUGGGGUCUACCUAAUCCGGCAAUGGCAGCCUAGGAACAGAAAGUCUAAGAACCCAGUAGUUUGCUCAGCUGCAAGGCUGGAUGGCUCAGCUGCUUUUCAGCGUAAGGAAUGGACUUGCCAGCAAGCCAGGGCAAGCAGGCAAAGAGCAAAAACAUCCCUCCUCUCGUGCUCUUAUCUAGGCUUCCUGCAGAAGGUGUGGCCUGGAUUAAAGGUGUGUCUUCUCACCUUAGCCUCUGGAUUAAAGAUCUAGCAUUAAAGACAUGCCUGCCCACCUCAGAGAUCUGGAUUUAGAAGUCGAUCUGCUUACUUCAAAUCGAGCAAGAAUCCCUCACAGGUGUGCCCCCCACCCCACCCGAGCCCCAAGUUUAGAUUUUAGUUGAUUCCAGAUGUUGUCAAGUUGUCAACCCAUCCCAGCGACUCUCCAGCUCACUUUGGUGUUCUGCCGCAGGAUCAGAAGUGAGUGUGGCUGUCAGUAUAGAAUGGAUCUGCUGACAUCUGGAGUGUAUGACUUCCCAGCCAAGGACAUUGAGGCCUCCUAAGAGACAUAGACUCAGCUAGGCCCUGUGCUCAGAUCUUCUGCUCUGUCUUUGCUGGUCUGACUAUAGAGCCUACCUCACUUCGGCAUGUGUAGAGAGACGCUGGGCUAAGUGCUGGGGAAACAAUAUGGAGUGUGUGUGUUCUGUUCGGGUUAGUUCAUGCUGGUGGUUCUGGCUGAGCCAUGGAGCAGCUUUGAAAGCCUCAGAGGGAGGGAGGGAGGGAGCGAGCAGCUAACAUGUCUGGGCUGGGCUGGAUGGCCUUGUCUCCGGCCUGCCUGUCCAGUCGGGUUAGCAUGGCGGAUGUUUACAGAUGCUCUCAUCGCUCCUUGUUGCUGCCUUGGCUGGUUUUGACUCAAGGAGCUGAUACCUACUGUCCCUGGAUGUGGGAACUAAGUGGGGUAGGGGAAGAGGGGUGUCUUAGUUAGGGUUUUACUGCUGUGAACAGACACCAUGACCAAGGCAAGUCUUAUAAAAACAACAUUUAAUUGGGGCUGGCUUACAGGUUCAGAGAUUCAGUCCAUUAUCAUCAAGGUGGGAGCAUGGCAGUAUCCAGGCAGGCAUGGCGCAGGAGGAGCUGAGAGUUCUAUGUCUUCAUCCAAAGGAUGUUAGUGGAAGACUGACUUCCCAGGCAACUAGGGUGAGAGUCUUAAGCCCACACCCAUAGUGACACACCUAUUCCAACCAGGUCAUACCUAUUCCAACAAGGCCACACCUCUAGAUGGUGCCACUCCCUGGUCCAAGAAUGUACAAAUCAUCACAAGGGGGAAGGGAGGAUAGUCCACAUCCAGCCAGAGUUCAUUCUAAGCUCUGGGCAGGCUGAUGUGGGAGGGCUGUUAGACACUUUCCACUUGGCCCCGGGUAGGCAUCCAAGCUACUGACCCCACAUGGUGGGGGAUGGACAAGGGGCAGCCCCCAACCAGGGGCCCCGGGGCAACACCCUGUAGCCCCGGGGUUAUGGGAGAGAGGGCAUAGGGAGAGAGGUUUCCACACAGGCGAGAGAGUCCUUAGUCCGGGCCUUGACUAGAGCACAGGAAGGCCUUCCAUCAGGAGAUUAGAAACGGCUCACUAGAGGAAAGCCUAUUCCAUUGUCCAAGUGCAGUGGGCCUUGAUGAACAGAUAGUCUGUGGUUUUAGAGCAUUAUUGUAGAAAGGCAGGGGAAAAGAGAGAAGGUAGAAAGAGAGAGAGAGAGAGAGAGAGAGAGAGAGAGAGAGAGAGAGAGAGAGAGACCGGCCCUGGCCAAGAGGAGAGAAAGGUGAAAGGGAGAGAGAAGAAGAAAGGCUAGAGAGUAAGAAAGAGAGAGCAAGAGAGUGAGAGGAGAGGAGAAAGAGAGGAGAGUAAGGGGAGUAAGAGAGCGAGGUGGGGCCAAGCAGCCCCUCUUAUGGUGGGCUGUUAUCUUACUGUUGCUAGGUAACUGGGGAGGAGUUUAGCCUGAAGGUCAGAAGCUUGGGACUUUGUCUAUGUGACUACUGACCAUGGUUCUCCUGUGGGGGCUGUGGGAGAGGUAACUUUGACAGGAGUCAGAGUUCCAGGAGACACGAGGGAACUCCUACCGUCCCAUGUAGGUGAAUUACCACCACCGGGUCCCGGGGUUCCACAACCCAGCUCGACUGGAGACCAGACUGUCUGUGUAUGUAGCCCAAUGCCCCACACCUGGAACUGCAGAAUUAUGAGCCACCAACAGCUAAAAGGAAGCUCACACAGGGAGCACUUUGAAUAGGAAGUACUGUGGAAUGUACUUUAAAUUCUCAUAACCACUUGGGGGCCAAGGUAAUGACACCCCCAGUUUGGGGGCUGCAAGACUACUGCAGACAGGCUCAUAAAGUAAUCUCUGCUCUCUCGCUUCCCAGCUCUGUGGCAAUGGAUAAGUAAUCCACUCUUCAAUUUGAUCUGUAAAAUCAGUCUCGUCACACUGUGAUCAGUCGUUGGUGGGUUGAUCUGUGUAAAUCAUCUACGGAGACCCUGCCUUGUGACAGUGUCCCAGAUACUGUCCUGAUGGUAGAUAUCAACCUAGAAUGGUGUUCCUUCCACUGUCAAGCAAGCAAUGACGGCAAGCAGUGUGGGUCCUUGAGACAGGAUGCUGUGCCUCCAGGAGACCCUGCUAGAGAAACAUCUGUACCUGGAAAGCAGAGGGUCUGGCUGGUCAGGGAGGGAGGGGCUGCUGGAGAUGAGAUUGCUCACACCGGGAAGAGGCUGGCUCCAGGGUCUGUAGAAGAUCAGAGACAAGAGAGGUGGGGGGAAUGGAGCUACCUGGGAGCUGAUGGAUGGGAAGGUGCGGGAUUCCCAUGACCUCAGGGCUUUCUCACACCCUGGCCAUCCGGCCUCUGCCUCAUCAUCUUGCUAAAGUAUGACUGCUUAUCCUAGGAAGUGAUGGCCACAAAACAGAAAAAAACAGGCCUAGCCUCAGGAUGACAGUUGUUCCCAGCCUAGGAGAGGGUGAAGCCAGAAGGAAGUGAGGGAGAAAGGCCACGCAGGUGUGAGACUCCACAGGAACGCAGCAGCAGAGGCGAAGGGCUACACAGUGAAACAGUCCACACGCUAGUUAAGCCUCUGUGGUCCAUCCAUUUGCCUAGGAAUUUCAUAAAUUCAUUCUUUUAAAUAGCUGAGUAGUACUCCAUUGUGUAAAGGUACCACAUUUUCUGUAUCCAUUCCUCUGUUGAGGGGCAUCUGGGUUCUUUCCAGCUUCUGGCUAUUAUUGAAC
rnacentral:lncRNA from 1 species